rnacentral:rRNA from 1 species
UACGUAGGGGGCAAGCGUUGUCCGGAAUCAUUGGGCGUAAAGCGCGUGUAGGCGGUCAGACAAGUCCGCUGUGAAAACUCGAGGCUCAACUUCGAGCUGUCGGUGGAAGCUUUCUGGCUAGAGUCCGGAAGAGGAGAAUGGAAUUCCUGGUGUAGCGGUGAAAUGCGCAGAUAUCAGGAAGAACACCCGUGGCGAAGGCGGUUCUCUGGGACGGUACUGACGCUGAGACGCGAAAGCGUGGGGAGCGAACAGG